ACCCCUCCUGCCCGUGGUGCUGUGAUUUAAACCUGAACUUUGCUUUGCUUUCAUCCCCUGGAGAAGCGAGAUUUAGAUGAUAAAUUUCUCCGUCUUCCCGGGAGCGCGCACACACAUGGGCGCAGACCUGCGCCUCCACGCACACGUAGAGGUGCUCACACAUUGCGGAGCCCCCGUGCAUGAGCGCUUACAGAUGUGUCCACCCCGUUGCAAACCACACGUGUACACAUUCACAUGUGAUGCAUUUGUAUGACACGCAUGCCAUCCGGGGGGGACCCGCGGCCCCCGGUUAGGGCAGGAGGCCAGAACGGCUAGCGUGCACGGGGUGGGUGGGAGAGGGUGAGGAGGACAGGCAAGGCCGAGACCGGAAGACGCUGUCCAAAUCUCGCCCCACCGUGCUGCCUGGAAGAGGGGAAGGAGGUUCGUGUUUUUGUGUGAGUGUGCUUGUCUGCACGUGUGUCCCUGUGCACGAGUCCGCGUGCCCAUCUGUGGGUGUUGACAAGCGUGGGAACCUUUGUUGCACGCUGGGGUUGGCGGCCUACGGGCAGGGGAGGGUGCGGUGCGUUGGAAAAAUCACACCCACGCUGCCGCUGGCCCGCUGUUGGCCUCGGGCAAGCUGGCGCCCCUCUCUGGUCUUCCUUCUGGCCACCGAGGGUCCAGCCAGUUCUGACUUUCUAGUCUGUCUGUGAGAACGUGAGGGUGUGUUUCCCUGAGUAAGCUGGGCUUGGGUGUGCGUGUGUGUGUGGUGAGUUUGAGAAACGAUCUGUGUGUAUGUUUCACUUAGUGAAAGUAUCUGUGAGAGCGAGGACAUCCUUGUUUUAAAUUGCACCCCUCCUACUCCUUUUCUGCCUUAAUCUUCUCCAUAACACUGGUCGCCCCUGAACGCCACUGUACUUUUGCUUAUUUAUGUUGUGUAUGGUUUCCGUCUCCCCGGCGGAACGUAAACCCCACAAGGAUCGGACUUUUAGCUGCUGUGCUCACGCGUGUAUCCCCCCGUUAGAACCAUCUCUGGCACAGGUGGCCUCGUGAAACUUCAGUGCAUAUUCAUUGAAUGAACAAAUGAACGAAUGAACAACCUUAUCAGCUCCCUCAGGUGUUCUCUUACGGGUCACUUGCCUUCCUUUCUCGAAAAUGCUGUUAAUCAUGAAGUCCUGUAUGUGGGCCAGUAGAAGUUGACAUCGGCGAGGGGCAGAUCAAGUGUGGAAAGCCAGGCAAGAUGGAAAGUGAGCACGAGAGACCUUGCAAGGGCGGGACCUUUGUCUGGUUUGGCCACGGAUGUAUCCCACGCUCCCAGGAGAGCGCCUGGCGCGUGGCACGUGUUUCGUCAGUGUUUACUGAGUGAUUGGCUGCACUUCUGCCCGAGUGGAUUUUUGUAUAUCCAGCUGGAGGAUGCAGAAGGAGGAAGAGGAGAAAGAUGAGAUGUUGGCCAGCCCUGAAGAGUGGGUGUCCUACCUGGCGAGAGGGCACAAGACACUGAUUGCUAAAGAGAGAGAGACAGAGCGCGAGCAGGGGAGGAGCACAGGGAGAGGGAG